UGGACUUUUUUCUCCGAUAUCCGAUCUCAUAUCCCUGCCGAACUGUUUUCUCCGCCGGACAUCUCCCGGCCGGUGUUAGUUUUGAAGGUUUGUAAUUUACAAAUUUAAGGUCUUUUGAUAUUGUAUAUGUGUUGAUCGAUAUAGUUUGUGAUAUGUUAUGUGUUGGUAUUUUCUUGUAGGCAUUUGCGGAUUAUUGGAAUUUGAGUUCGGCAGUUGAGUUCGAUAAUCUAAUUUGAGUUUGACGGAUCAAUGCAAUAAAUUUUAUUCAUUUGAAAUUAUUUAACUAUUAUGUUAGUUAUCAAUUAAUUAAUCUAAUUUGUAUGUUAAAUAAUUGGAAAAUGAAAUGCAUGUUCUUAAAUUGUGUGAAUUUAAAAUGAAUGCAAUUUUUUUGAAAUGAAUGCUGGUGAUACAGUAUCCCGAACCUGGUCACAACGACCUACCAGCAACUAGAAGUCUGGAUAGCCUAAGAUGAGUUAAGGUACCUAUUCUAGGGUUGGGGAGGUCCCAAGUCGAAUCCUAGGAAGAUCGACUUUCCUAAGGAUCGACUUUUGCGAAAAGUCGAUCCCAGGAAAGUCGAUCCCAAGAAAGUCGAUCCCAGGAAAGUCGAUCCCAAGAAAGUCGAUCUCUGGAAAGUCGACUUUGGGUCCCGAUCUGAUCAGUUAGGCAGUUAGGCGGUUACUGCCCAAAUGACCAGAUUACCCCCAUAAGAACCCCUAUAAAUAGAGGGCACCCCCCACUCAUUGGAGGCAAGUCAUUUGGAGUAGAAGAAUUCCUAGCGAAGCAGAGCUCUGCGCACUUUGAGUUCCGGUCCGGUUUCCCGUGGAGUUCCCCGCUUGGCGCUUGCUUGCGCGUCUUGGAGUACUGGUCGGGUUUCACCCCCAUCAGUUGGCGUCGUCUGUGAUUCAAAGAUACUCACGACAAAAGCUCCUCGACUUUUGCGAAAAAAGGGUUCGACUUUUUUCCAAGUCGCCAGCUAGGGAGUCUUGCGAGGAAAUCAGCUCGGCAAAGGAUCGACUUUUUAGAAGAAAGAAGAUCGACUUUUUCUCUCUCAAGGAUAAAAGUCGAUCCCUCAAGGAGCUUAAUCCCAAGGAUUGGGAUAGACUUUUUUCCCAACAUUGGGAUAGACUUUUUAAAAAAAAAUCCAAAGAAUUGGGAUAGACUUUUUAAAAAAAUCCCAACAUCGGGAUAGACUUUUUUAAAAAAUCCCAAGAAGUGAGAUAGACUUUAUAAAAAAAUCCCAAGGAUUGGGAUAGACUUUUUUCCCAACAUUGGGAUAGACUUUUUAAAAAAUCCCAAGAGUUGGGAUAGACUUUUUAAAAAAUCCCAACAUCGGGAUAGACUUUUUUUAAAAAAAUCCCAAGAAGUGGGAUAGACUUUUUUUAAAAAAAUCCCAAGAAGUGGGAUAGACUUUUUAAAAAAAUCCCAAGGAUUGUGAUAGACUUUUUUCCCAACAUUGUGAUAGACUUUUUAAAGAAUCCCAAGGAUUGGGAUAGACUUUAUUCCCAACAUUGGGAUAGACUUUUUAAAAAAAUCCCAAGGAUUGGGAUAGACUUUAUUCCCAACAUUGGGAUAGACUUUUUUAAAAAAUCCAAAGAAGUGGGAUAGACUUUUAAAAAAAAUCCCAAGAAUUGGGAUAGACUUUUUAAAAAAAUCCCAACAUCAGGAUAGACUUUUUUAAAAAAUCCCAAGAAGUGGGAUAGACUUUUUAAAAAAAAAUCCCAAGGAUUGGGAUAGACUUUUUUUCCAACAUUGGGAUAGACUUUUUAAAAAAUCCCAACAUCGGGAUAGACUUUUUUAAAAAAUCCCAAGAAUUAGGAUAGACUUUUAAAAAAAAAAAAAAUCCCAAGGAUUGGGAUAGACUUUUUUCCCAACAUUGGGAUAGACUUUUUUUUAAAAAAAAUCCCAAGAAUUGGGAUAGACUUUUUUAAAAAAUCCCAACAUCGGGAUAGACUUUUUUUAAAAAAAUCCCAAGAAGUGGGAUAGAUUUUUUAAAAAAAAUCCCAAGAAGUGGGAUAGAUUUUUUAAAAAAAUCCCAAGGAUUGGGAUAGACUUUUUUCCCAACAUUGGGAUAGACUUUUUAAAAAAAUCCCAAGGAUUGGGAUAGACUUUAUUCCCAACAUUGGGAUAGACUUUUUAAAAAAUCCCAACAUCGGGAUAGACUUUUUUAAAAAAUCCCAAGAAUUGGGAUAGACUUUUU
rnacentral:lncRNA from 1 species